rnacentral:lncRNA from 1 species
AUUGUCGACAAGAAUGCGGCGAAUAUCGUAAUUAGCUAUAUUCAAAGAAACUACAACUGCGUUGUUAUGAGGAAAUUGAACUCCCCGAGCAUCUUCUUCAGUAAAGGUUAUGGAUUCCUCAAUCUUUUGUCGCUUGGGAGGUCCGGCCAAUACGCCGGUUGCUCCCUGCCGGGAUUCUCCCGAGAUGGUAUUGGCGAAAUC